rnacentral:siRNA from 1 species
GAAUCGCACGUCUCCACUCGGA